ACCUGCACCAGACUCCUCAGGACCUGCAGUCCCCCCAGUUUCAGGAACUGCUGCUGGGCAUAAGGGAAAUGUCGCAGGAGGGAGCAUAGUGCAAACAGGACCUGCAAAGAGUGAGGAGCCAUGCGGAGCGGGUCCUGCCCCAAGGCAGAGGCAGCCAGAAGUGCACCAACUACCCCAUACUGGCCUCCAUUCUUCCUGGCCCACCCACCACCACAGGGGCAGCUACACUCCAGAACACAGAUCCUUAACUCAUCUGAAGAAGCCAGCAACUCUUUCCCUCCUUCUCACUCUUGGGCUCAAGUUUCUCUGAACCACGUUUGACUCUUUCUGGCAGGAAGACCAUUCUCCUUAAAAGAGAAGUCAGAAGAUGCAGAAAAAGCAUUGGACAAAAUAGAGCACCCUUUCUUAAUAAAAAUCAUUGAGGUUAUUGUAAAAAAAUAAACACAAGAAAUUACAAGUCCUGGCGAGGA